GUGGGGAAUUUUGGACAAUGGGCGCAAGCCUGAUCCAGCAAUGCCGCGUGCAGGAAGAAGGCCUUCGGGUUGUAAACUGCUUUUGUACGGAACGAAACGGUCCGGGUUAAUACCCUGGGCUAAUGACGGUACCGUAAGAAUAAGCACCGGCUAACUACGUGCCAGCAGCCGCGGUAAUACGUAGGGUGCAAGCGUUAAUCGGAAUUACUGGGCGUAAAGCGUGCGCAGGCGGGUUUGUAAGACAGGCGUGAAAUCCCCGGGCUCAACCUGGGAAUUGCGCUUGUGACUGCAAGGCUGGAGUGCGGCAGAGGGGGAUGGAAUUCCGCGUGUAGCAGUGAAAUGCGUAGAUAUGCGGAGGAACACCGAUGGCGAAGGCAAUCCCCUGGGCCUGCACUGACGCUCAUGCACGAAAGCGUGGGGAGCAAACAGGAUUAGAUACCCGUGUAGUCC
rnacentral:rRNA from 1 species